rnacentral:rRNA from 1 species
UACGUAGGGGGCAAGCGUUGUCCGGAAUCAUUGGGCGUAAAGCGCGUGUAGGCGGCCUUGUAAGUCCGUUCUGAAAGCCCGGGGCUCAACCCCGGGAGGCGGAUGGAUACUGCAAGGCUCGAGUCCGGAAGAGGCGAGUGGAAUUCCCGGUGUAGCGGUGAAAUGCGCAGAUAUCAGGAGGAACACCGGUGGCGAAGGCGGGUCUCUGGCCCGAUACUGACGCUGAGGUGCGAAAGCGUGGGGGAGCAAACAGG